UUGAAGUAAGCAAUCUGCUUGUUUAUCCCUGUUUCCAUUAAUUAAAUAUGUGCAAGCUAAAUUUCCUACUGAAAAACAUGAGAUGACAUGCAUGGGGCCAAAGCUACGUUCUCUCUCAGGAGGCUGAGCUGCCAGCCUUGGGGAGGUCUCCAGAGCAGGACCAGACCCAUAUCUGCAGCCCUCCCAGCUUGUCCUCUGGGCUUGCUGCAGGAGGAUGGACUGGAAAGCAAAUGUAUGUGAAGCUGUGAUGUUGUUCCUGGGCAAUGUGAAAGGGUGCUUCAGCAGUUCCAUCCUCUGAGCUCACAGCUGCCCUGUUGUGGCUCCUGGGUGCUCUUCUAUAGACAGAUUUCAUUUUUCUUGUUUCUCUCAUUGCUGUCCCAGUGGCUUGAAUCUUCACUUUUGUAAAUGCCAGAGGUGCAGCUGCUAACAGAACAGUUACUCCUGCCCUACAGCAGCACAGUAGGGCCCAGAAGUGCUGUUAUUUGCUGAAGCAUCUCUCUGAUCCCCAAAGGCAAAUUCAUUUGGACGAGGCCUGGCUCUGCAAUGACCACAUACUGGAAGUGGACAGGUGAUCAGCUGUUGGGCUUAGCCAACAAUCUGCCAAGAAUGAAAACUUCUUAGGAGUAAAAUGGAAGAGAUCUUCAUGUUGCAUGCAAAAGCGAACUGUUUUCAGCCUGUCCAAAAAUGAGAAGAAAGGAGAGGGAAUAGGCUGUGCUGUAGGUGUGCAGAAUAGCUGGUAAGUGGAGAAACUCAUAAGGGAGCUGAUCAGUGAAAGUUGAGCUCUGGUCAAAGUCUUGGGGCAAUUGUAAGUAAAACCUUUAGAAUCAGAAGAGACCUGUGCUGAUUUUUGAAGCUCUUCUGUUGCAGCCAGGCUGAACAAAGAACUCCAAGGGCAGCAGUCCACAAGGGACAUAAAGAAAAUGCAGGUUCCCUUAAAAAGGAGCAGCUACUUUGAUUAGUUUGAAGCAGAAUAAAAGACCUAUAAAUGGGGAGAAUCCUGAAGAUGUCCUGGGAGAGGGGAAUUCGUGCCCUUAGAAUAGCUGCACGGAUGAAACAGAGGAUGAAAAAGCUUGAACACAAAUGUCUUGAUAAUAAACACAAAUGUGUUUAUUGCCAUGUAUUAAAGGUAAGAAUGGAAAAAUGACUUUGGCAUGUUUUUGCUUUGUUUGCUGCUACUCCCCUGCAUGGCAGGCUAGCCCUGUGCUCCAGCUUCA